AAGUCAAAAUUGAGGAGAAUUUCUCUAUGGCCGGUAAAUGGUAUUCAAAGAGCAAAUGAAUUGUACUUCGUAUGUGUGGCACGACAGCUUUGUGUCAAGAUUCUUUCAGCUUCUUACUCUUAUUCCUUAAAAAAAAUAGUGACACCACGUGCACCCUAAGACGAGUUUAUACGAUGCUAAUUAACUUUGUGACUGUUCUUUCCUAUUCAUUUCAUCGCAAAUUUUGUGAAGUUGAAAACUAAAUAAGGACCGUAAAACUGACAUUUUCGUUGAAGUCACCGUCGUAAAGUCGGAAAGGCAGGAAAUGCAUCUUUACUAAGAGUAAGAUACGAAGUCAUACAACUAACAUGCAAGCAUCGUAUAAAUACAGAGUAGAAACAUACGGUUACCUACGAUUUCAUGCCAAUGCUCUAUCAGUCGUAUUUUUUUGCGCGCCACAAACACGCACGCCCUACGACGUUAUAAGGGGUUAUCGUAGGCGACACAGAAAAAUUAUUUCUUGUUAAGAAAUUAAAUAUUAAGAAAUUAAUGAAUAAAAUAUUCCACCUUGCUUUCAAUUUCAGCACAUUAGUUUACACUGUUACAUUAAGUAAAUGUAACAAUUUUUUUUUGCGAAUUAAGUUCAAAUUUGAUGUAUUUGCCAUUAUGAUAAUAUCGUUUCUAUACUGCAAGUCCUGAAGGAAUAGUUGCGUACGUUACAAUUUUUGAAAUUUAAAGCACCAACAAUACUCACUUACGACGUCGUCGUAGGGCGUGCGUGUGUUUCUGGUGGG